rnacentral:ncRNA from 1 species
CUACGGACUUAAUUUAUUUGAGCCUUAGAGGAGAAAUCCUGUAAGUGUAAGCUCUCAAACUCAGGGAAACCUAAAUCUGGCGUCAGACAGGGCAAUCCUGAGCCAAGUCUUGUUGACUACUUGUAGAACUUUGCCUUCUAAUUGCGAUAAUUCAGAUGGUAAAUAACAGAAGAGUUAACAAGAAAGGUGCAGAGACUCGACGGGAGCCGCCCUAACGUAAAGCCGAGGGUGAAGAGAGAGUCCAAUUCUCAAAACCUAAUGU